GAGGCAUUGGAGCAGGGCAUUUUGAUAGUGGCUGGAGGGCAGGCAGCUCAACCUCUAAACCCCCCUGGUCUGGGCACCAAGUCCUGUCCUGGGCACGGGACACAGUCCUCCAGCGAGACCAAACCCAGCUUCUCUACAGCACCAGGAAGAAGGCAAGCUGGGCCACCAGGGCGCGGCCCCAGGAAGGAAAAUCCUCCAUGGUCCUGUUGACAGAUGUGGUAUCAAAUGAAUUGUUCUCUGCUUAGACACGACUUUGAUAUUUAUUGGUUCAAAUUGCUCGGCUGACUCAGUCUUGCGUAAGUCUCCCUGGUCCGUUUUAAUCUUGACGUUUUGGGAAGCCACACUGAUGUGGGUAAUGACUGGGUUUACCUGGGAUCAAAAUGAAAAGGGAGAAGGGGGGGGUCUGGAAUAAUUACAGUGGGGCAAUGUAUAUUUUUGUGUAAUCUGGAAAGGCGAUUUAUGAGGCCGAUAAAAAUGAUAAUGUUUUCUGCGUGGAGCCAGCAUGGAUUAGCUUGCAACAGAGCUUUCUUUGCAGGAAAUGAAGGGGGUGGUGGCUGCCGUUUACUAGGCAAAUAGUUGUUCUGAAUCUCUGUUUUUUUCACUUCACUUCUGAAAUUACUGAGAUAAGGCACAUUGGAAUAUAGAUUGUGGUCCUCCUUCGGUUACUGUGAAUUAAAAUUUGUUUCCGGAGUGCAGGGAGGUAGGGAUGCGAUUUGUGUAAUUAAGACCAGAAAAAUGAUGGGGAGGGAAGGGAAUCCCCCAACCCCCAUUCCUGCUCUAUCUUUAGAAUCGAAGCGCGGACGGACCCUGGUGAUUUUGUUAAGCUUGGCUGGAAUGAGGAUUCCUGGUUCCGGGAGGAAGCUUACAUAACUUCCUGGGCGGUCUCCUCCCAACCAAUGCCCAUUUUGCUGACCCAACUGUAAAUGAAUCAGAAACAUUUCACUUCCAUCCCUCUGAAUUUGUAGUUCAUAAUCUCACAGGAAAAUAGUAGUAGAAAAAGCUCCCAAGUAUUUGCUCAACUCAAGAUGGAAAGAAAAUUGUAAUAAAGGUUUAGUUUUACUCAA
rnacentral:lncRNA from 1 species